AGUAAUGCGGGUACUAUACAUGCAAGUCGAGCGAACAGACGAGGAGCUUGCUCCUUUGACGUUAGCGGCGGACGGGUGAGUAACACGUAGGUAACCUACCUAUAAGACUGGGAUAACUUCGGGAAACCGGAGCUAAUACCGGAUAAUAUUUCGAACCGCAUGGUUCGAUAGUGAAAGAUGGCUUUGCUAUCACUUAUAGAUGGACCUGCGCCGUAUUAGCUAGUUGGUAAGGUAACGGCUUACCAAGGCAACGAUACGUAGCCGACCUGAGAGGGUGAUCGGCCACACUGGAACUGAGACACGGUCCAGACUCCUACGGGAGGCAGCAGUAGGGAAUCUUCCGCAAUGGGCGAAAGCCUGACGGAGCAACGCCGCGUGAGUGAUGAAGGUCUUCGGAUCGUAAAACUCUGUUAUUAGGGAAGAACAAACGUGUAAGUAACUGUGCACGUCUUGACGGUACCUAAUCAGAAAGCCACGGCUAACUACGUGCCAGCAGCCGCGGUAAUACGUAGGUGGCAAGCGUUAUCCGGAAUUAUUGGGCGUAAAGCGCGCGUAGGCGGUUUUUUAAGUCUGAUGUGAAAGCCCACGGCUCAACCGUGGAGGGUCAUUGGAAACUGGAAAACUUGAGUGCAGAAGAGGAAAGUGGAAUUCCAUGUGUAGCGGUGAAAUGCGCAGAGAUAUGGAGGAACACCAGUGGCGAAGGCGACUUUCUGGUCUGUAACUGACGCUGAUGUGCGAAAGCGUGGGGAUCAAACAGGAUUAGAUACCCUGGUAGUCCACGCCGUAAACGAUGAGUGCUAAGUGUUAGGGGGUUUCCGCCCCUUAGUGCUGCAGCUAACGCAUUAAGCACUCCGCCUGGGGAGUACGACCGCAAGGU
rnacentral:rRNA from 1 species